rnacentral:rRNA from 1 species
AGCUCCAAUAGCGUAUAUUAAAGUUGUUGCAGUUAAAAGCUCGUAGUUGGACUUCUGAUGUGGCGUUACGGUCCAUCGCAAGAUAGGCACUGUGAUGUUGCGUCUUCCUCUCGUAGGCCUUGGGUGCACUUAACUGGGUGCCCUUGGAAUAUGGGACCUUUACUUUGAAAAAAUUAGAGUGUUCAAAGCAGGCAAUCGCUUGAAUACAUUAGCAUGGAAUAAUGGAAUAGGACUUUGUUUCUAUUUUGUUGGUUUCUAGGAACGAAGUAAUGAUUAAUAGGGACAGUUGGGGGCAUUAGUAUUUAAUUGUCAGAGGUGAAAUUCUUGGAUUUAUGAAAGACUAACUACUGCGAAAGCAUUUGCCAAGGAUGUUUUCA